AUAAGACAUUUGUUUAUAGUUACUGCAUAUGAAAUAUUGUCUGGCAAAACAUGGCAACCUUUUAGAAACUUUGGAGCUGAGUUGACGUAAUGAAAAGCCAAAAAGAAACAUUUUCUAAUUUGAAAUUGGUUGGUCUGAACGCAACUAAACACAAACAUUUUGACAUUUGACAUUUUGUCGAAUAGAAGAGCUCAUGGUUUUUAAUGAUAAUUACAAUGACAUAAAAAAGUCCCACAAAUGAUAUGAUUUCACACACUAUUUAUUAGAGGGUCUAGGGAAUAUUAGUCAUCCUACUUUACAUACACUUUCACCAACCCAAUUAUAUAGGAGGGACAGCAAAAUUCCCCAUUCAUGCUUGGAAGCUAGCAGUAUGUUUAUAUUAAACCUUACACUUAAUGUGCAGAUAACUCUUUGUUUUCCUUUUAAAUCCGUGACUACCAAAAAAACAAUUAUAAUUAGAUCAGUAGCUGAGGUAGAUUUUACCAAGACGGAUAAAAUAAAGUUUUCUGCAAUCCAUAAAGCGUCUAAAUGAAUGAGUUGAUGCUAUCCAUUGCAUGAACUGAAACAAUACCACAACUACACUGCUAACUAUUCUUACCACUGAAACCUUUUUUUAACAUUUCCAGCCCCUUCGCCCCAGUUCCUUGCCAACGCUUCUCGCAGCUGUGUUCAAGUUCCACCGUCCAAGACCAGUCCAACCACCUUCAGCCCCCCCACCCUGGGCAUUUCCACUGGUUAUGCUACUUUUCAGGUUGAAGCGCUUCAGUAAUUUGUUUCCUAUCUCAGUGACAGCAGCAUCAUUUUCAUCACACUGCAGUAAUCCACGUGUCUCAUGGUAGAAAACGUUGACAUGCAACACAACAUUGGCGUGAACAUCCCAUGUUUUCAUAGUUGACGUUGCCUUGACUUGGUGUGUGUGGUGCAUCAACACCAGAAUGACAGGUUUAUCA
ensembl:lncRNA